GUGGAAGGAUGAAGGGGAAGCAAGCACGUCUUCACAUGGCAGUAGGCGGGAGAGUGAGUGAAGGGAGAAGUGCUACACACUUUCAAACAACCAGAUCUCAUGAAAACUCACUAUCACAAGAACAGCAAAAGGGAAAUCCACCCAUGAUCUAAUCAUCUCCCACCAGCUCCCUCUCGCAACAUUGGGAAUUACAGUUCAACAUGCGAUUUGGUGGGGACACAGAGCCAAACCAUAUCACACCCCAUUCAAAGCUAUGAGAUUAUAAAAUGGUCCUUCUCCUGUCACUCAGCUGACUGUAAAUUCAUGCUGGCACAUCCACACCACGGCAGACAGGUGAGUGACUCCUAUGUGCUUUGGACAUUUGUGACAAAUAACUUUUCUGUUUCAGAUAUUCCAACUUAAUAAAAAGGUAAUAUACUCAUUAUGUUCCUGUUUCCCAGAAGACACUGCUUGGGAGUUCUGUUCUGUCAUCAACGGAGCUGUGAUGACCGUGGAUGUCACUGGUAGUGGCCAACAUUUCUGCAGCUCCUUCUCAGUUACAUCCUCAACACAAACUCCUCACCAGCAGGUGGCAGAAG
rnacentral:lncRNA from 1 species